GAUGAACGCUGGCGGCGUGCCUAAUACAUGCAAGUCGAGCGAACAGACGAGGAGCUUGCUCCUCUGACGUUAGCGGCGGACGGGUGAGUAACACGUGGAUAACCUACCUAUAAGACUGGGAUAACUUCGGGAAACCGGAGCUAAUACCGGAUAAUAUAUUGAACCGCAUGGUUCAAUAGUGAAAGACGGUUUUGCUGUCACUUAUAGAUGGAUCCGCGCCGCAUUAGCUAGUUGGUAAGGUAACGGCUUACCACGGCAACGAUGCGUAGCCGACCUGAGAGGGGGAUCGGCCACACUGGAACUGAGACACGGUACAGACUCCGACGGGAGGCAGCAGUAGGGAAUCUACCGCAAUGGGCGAAAGCCUGACGGAGCAACGCCGCGUGAGUGAUGAAGGUCUUCGGAUCGUAAAACUCUGUUAUUAGGGAAGAACAAAUGUGUAAGUAACUAUGCACGUCUUGACGGUACCUAAUCAGAAAGCCACGGCUAACUACGU
rnacentral:rRNA from 1 species